rnacentral:rRNA from 1 species
UACGUAGGAUGCAAGCGUUGUCCGGAAUUACUGGGCGUAAAGCGCACGUAGGCGGCUAUUCAAGUCAGAGGUGAAAGCCCGGGGCUCAACCCCGGAACUGCCUUUGAAACUAGGUAGCUAGAAUCUUGGAGAGGUCAGUGGAAUUCCGAGUGUAGAGGUGAAAUUCGUAGAUAUUCGGAAGAACACCAGUGGCGAAGGCGACUGACUGGACAAGUAUUGACGCUGAGGUGCGAAAGCGUGGGGAGCAAACAGG